UACGUAGGGUGCAAGCGUUGUCCGGAAUUAUUGGGCGUAAAGAGCUCGUAGGCGGUUUGUCGGCGUCUGCUGUGAAAACCCGAGGCUCAACCUCGGGCCUGCAGUGGGUACGGGCAGACUAGAGUGCGGUAGGGGAGAUUGGAAUUCCGUGGUGUAGCGGUGGAAUGCGCAGAUAUCAGGAGGAACACCAAUGGCGAAGGCAGAUCUCUGGGCCGUAACUGACGCUGAGGAGCGAAAGCAUGGGGAGCGAACAGG
rnacentral:rRNA from 1 species